GCCAGGUGUGGUGGCUCACACCUGUAAUUCCAGUGGCUGGGGAGGCUGAGGCAGAAGGAUUGCAAGUUCGAGGCCAGCCUCAGCAACUCAGUGAGACCCUGUCUCAA
rnacentral:sRNA from 1 species